ensembl:lncRNA
CCAUCCACGAGAAGAGUCUGGCAUAAAAGAGCAUAUGCUGUUUGGGGAACUCCGAGGAGCUUUCGUGUUCUCUGGCAAGAGAUUCAGGAGGUGUGUGGGCAGGGAACAGAUGACAAAUGGCCUUAUGUGCCAUGUGGAAGACUUUGGACUUUAUAUCUUGAAAACAGUGAUGAAUCUGUUAAGGGUUUUAAGAAAGGCAGUGACAUGAUUUUAUUUGCCUUACAAAAGUGACUUUGGUGGCAAUAAAAGGAUGGGAUUUUUUAAAGAAUGAAGAAAAGAAGACUCAGAUGAGCAGCAGUUUUAAGUCUGGGUUAUAAAAUUAUAUUACUCACACCCAAAAUAAAUAGAGCUAUAAUGAACACAGAGAGAAAGGCGAAGAAGAGGAGGGGAGAGAUGUCAGAGGUCAUUUGGAGGUAGUAGCCACAAAACGUGGUGAGCAGCAGGAGGAAGUGGGUGAGCCGAGUGGCUUGGUGUGUCUGAGGAGAGCAAUGUCACUAUUCAGAGAACGGACCACAGGCAAGAGUGGGGUUGCUUGUUUUCUCUGUUGGUUUUGAUAUGUGGGAGACAUUCAACAGAGAUGAACUCAUGGGAGUCUCAAAUACAGGUCUGCCCUUGAUUAAAAUGUAUGAAAUGUGGAGAUAUGGAUUCAGAAAUAAUCAUCGUAUAAAUAAAUGGGAGAGCAUGGGUGAGUGGGCCUGAGGAGAAUACAUUAAAAGAGGAGAAAAAAGAUUGAAUACACUCAACAAUAUUUAAAGAGUGAGUAGAGGAAAAGGAAGUUAUGAAGGAAACUGAGAAAGGCGAGCUGAGAGGUAAGUAAACCAAGAAGAAAGAAAGUGAUAACACAGAAACGACACGGGGCGGGGAUUAGAAGGAGGUGUGAUUCUAUCGACUACAUCAAGCACCACAACAAAAUCAACCAAUGUAAAGACCCCGUGUUCUUAGGAUUUGCCAAUCUGGUCAUCUUUCAGAACUUGUUUCAAAGAAGUUCCCAGGCCAGAAUUCAGAUCUGUGUGCUGAGAAUAGAACGGGAGGUGGGGAAUUGCAGAAGUGGCAUGCAGGUCACGUGGAUGAGAAAGGGAAUCCAAGCAGGGCCCACCCAAAGGCAAGGUAUGAUGCACCUGGGCCUGCUUUAUGGAGAAAGAAACGAGACCAGAGCACGUUAACCUGCUAAAGCAAAGGAGAAAAAGGAAUUUCCCAGCUUAACAGACAAGGAGGAGAAUCAUGUGAACAUGUAAUAAACCUGUAAUAAAACUAAAAGUGCAACUAAAAAUAUUGUGUUAAGCAUGGUGGACAAAUAUCAGUUUAAACAGUAUUUCCAUUCUAACCUGUUUCCACAAUACAUCUUCCAACUCUUUCUCCAAUUCCCAUAUCAUUUCUUAAGUCUCAGCAAGAUAAUUUUCUUUUCCUUUCUAUGUGUCUGUCUCCUUUUCUAUAAAAACACAUUUGGCAUUGCUAUUUCACCUUGACUGGUUUUGCCAUCCACAACCAGUCUGCAUUCCUGCCCUCCACCUAGGUCAAUUUUCUCAACUUUUAGGCAGUAUUGUCUACACAACUU